CCUUCCUACCGAAGCAGGUUUUAAUUAGAUAACGAUGGAUACCCCCCCUAUAAUCCUGGCCUUAUUAUUUUAUUUUAUUAUAUUUCUCUAAAUCCAGAUCCGUGCGCCGGCGCCAGGGAGGCUCCUUCUUGUUUAUAUCGAGUUUUUGAUGACUACUUCCUUCGUGGAUUUCGAACAAGACGAAGCAUCCCGCUUUCCAAUCCAUCCGCUGGUCUUAACACGUCCCGCUGCACCCGUUUCAAGAAGACUUGAGUUCUUGAUCUGGAGGGUUUAUUGUGCGGAGAACUUCAAUUUGGUUUGAAGGGAGGUUAUCAUCAAACUGGUUCCUUCACCUUCUGUUCUUUUUGGAUUAAGUAAGAGCCGAUAUCUUUGCUAUGUGCAUUGUAUUACAAGGAAAAGAAGGAUUCUGCAACAACUGUUUGAGUGGGUCAAAAGGGUUGAUUUAUUACCUUACCAGUCACCAAUUUAUGGGGGCCAGUUUGUUUGGCCAGUGACCAAGAUGGAAAACUUGCAUGGUAAUAGUAAACUAUGCAAUGCUGUUGCAAGAUACGGUUAAAGAAAGAAGAGCAAAGUUGCUGUGGGUGCUUCAUUACUGCUGGAAACUUUAUUAUGGCUGCAGCAACUAAUGAAGGCAGUUGCAGCUUGUUGGGAAAUGGAGUUGUUGGAAUCCUUGCUGAGUCUAUCAACAUAUGGGAGAGAAGAGCACCACUGACUCCAUCCCACUGUGCCCGCCUUCUACUUGGCGGCAAGGGUAAAACUGGAGUUGAACGUAUCAUUGUGCAGCCAAGCACAAAGCGUAUUCAUCAUGAUGCUCAGUAUGAGGAUGUUGGGUGUGAAAUAUCAGACGAUCUAUCGGAAUGUGGUCUCAUUAUCGGGAUCAAACAACCAAAGUUGGAGAUGAUUCUUCCAGAUAGAGCAUAUGCCUUCUUCUCCCACACCCACAAGGCCCAGAAAGAAAACAUGCCUCUUUUAGAUAAGAUUCUUGCUGAAAGGGUGUCUUUAUAUGACUAUGAGCUUAUUGUGGGGGAUAAUGGGAAAAGAUUGAUUGCAUUUGGAAAAUUUGCUGGUAGAGCUGGGCUGAUUGACUUCUUACAUGGGCUAGGACAACGAUACUUGACUCUGGGAUAUUCAACACCUUUCCUGUCACUUGGGGCAUCUCAUAUGUAUUCUUCUCUUGCUGCAGCGAAAGCUGCAGUUAUCACUGUGGGUGAAGAAAUAGCUACUCUGGGACUGCCAUCUGGAAUUUCUCCUAUAGUCUUUGUAUUCACUGGGAAUGGAAAUGUUUCUCAGGGUGCACAAGAGAUAUUUAAGCUCUUACCUCAUACCUUUGUGGAGGCUCACAGACUUCCAGAACUUUUUAGACGGGCUGGUGAUUUAGCUCAACAUUCUCAACCGAUGAGGAGAGUCUCUCAAGUAUAUGGAUGUGUGGUGACUUGUCAAGACAUGGUUGCACCCAAGAAUUCUACUAAAAGUUUUGAUAAAACUGAUUAUUAUGCCCAUCCAGAACACUAUUAUCCUGUUUUUCAUGAAAGAAUCGCUCCAUAUGCAUCUGUCAUCGUGAAUUGUAUGUAUUGGGAGAAGAGAUUUCCUCGGUUGCUGACUACUAAGCAGCUGCAAGAACUAACGAAGAAAGGAUCUCCACUUGUCGGAGUUUCUGACAUAACUUGUGAUAUUGGCGGUUCAAUUGAAUUUGUUAACCAAACAACAUUUAUAGAGAGACCUUUCUUCAGGUAUGACCCAUUCACUGAUUCAUACCAUGAUGACAUGGAGGGUGAUGGUGUAAUUUGUUUAGCUGUUGACAUCCUUCCAACAGAGUUUUCCAGGGAGGCUUCUCAACAUUUUGGGGAUAUUCUAUCUCAAUUUGUUGGUAGAUUGGCUUCAGCCAGGAGCAUAAUGGAACUACCAUCUUACCUGAGAAAAGCAUGCAUAGCUCAUGCUGGAGCACUUACUUCUUUGUAUGAAUAUAUCCCUCGAAUGAGAAAAACUUCAGCAGAUCCAUCAUCAAAUCAUGCAAAUGAUUCUUCUGGCAAGACGAAGUACACUACACUGGUAUCACUUAGUGGUCAUUUGUUUGAUCAGUUUUUAAUUAAUGACGCUCUGGAUGUUAUUGAAGCUGCUGGUGGAUCUUUUCGCUUGGUUAAAUGUGAUGUGGGUCAAAGUUCAAGUGCCAUGUCCUACUCAGAACUUGAAGUUGCUGCUGAUGACACUGCCAUCCUUGAUAAGAUAGUAGAUUCCCUAACUUCUAUUGCAAAUUCAAGUAAAGGCGGAGUCUUUAACAAAGAAAAAGAAUUAUCUUUGAAGAUAGGCAAAAUUAGUGAAAGAAAAGUGGAGGUCAGAAGUGGCAUUAAGAACAUGCCAGCAGUUUUAAUUCUUGGUGCAGGCCGUGUUUGCCGACCAGCUGCUGAAUUUUUAGCAUCAGGAGGGAGCAUAUCCUGCAGUGAUUCCUUUAAAACAUAUCAGGAUAUUAAUGUUGGAAUUGAAGGUAUUCAAGUUAUUGUAGCAUCUCUUUACCAGAAGGAUGCAGAAGAGACUAUUGAAGGCAUUCAAAAUGCAACAGCUAUUCAACUUGAUGCUAUGGAUUACGGAAGGCUGUCUGAGUAUGUAUCACAGGUUGAAGUGGUGAUUAGUUUGCUCCCUCCCAGUUUUCAUGCUGUCAUAGCCAAAGCAUGCAUAGAGCACAAAAAGCACAUGGUGACUGCAAGCUAUGUUGAUGACUCCAUGUCAAGGUUGGAUGAAAAGGCAAAAAGUGCAGGUGUUACAAUACUUUGUGAAAUGGGCCUGGAUCCUGGCAUAGAUCAUAUGAUGGCAAUGAAGAUGAUCGACCACGCACAUGUCGGGAAGGGGAAAAUAAAAUCAUUUACUUCUUACUGUGGUGGACUUCCCUCUCCUGCUUCUGCAAACAAUCCACUAGCUUACAAGUUCAGUUGGAACCCAGCUGGUGCAAUUCGUUCAGGGCGGAACUCAGCCACUUACAAAUCUAUGGGGGAGAUUGUUUAUGUUGAUGGUAAUGAACUUUAUGACUCAGCAACAAGAUUUCGCAUACCAGAACUUCCAGCAUUUGCCUUGGAGUGCCUCCCGAACCGGAACUCAUUACUAUAUGGGGACUUAUAUGGAAUCACUAAUGAGGCAUCAACCAUCUUUAGGGCCACCCUCCGCUACGAAGGUUUUAGUGAAGUAAUGGCAAGUCUAGCAAAAAUUGGUUUUUUUGAUGAUGAACCUCAUCCUAUGUUGAAAGGUGGUCAAAGAACAACUUUUAGCACCUUUCUAAAUGAACUUCUCAACACCAAAUGCUCUUCUCUAGUGAAUGCUAAUAACCCGGCAGGAUCAACUGGAGAUGAAAAGGAAAUGGUUAGGAGGUUGAUUCUGAGUGGGCACUGCAAAGAAACGACGACAGCAGUGAAGACGGUCAAAACUAUCAAGUUCCUGGGACUUCAUGAGAAUGAGGAAAUCCCAGUAGCAUGUUGGAGUGCGUUAGAUGUUGUGUGCUUCUGCAUGGAACACAGAUUAGCCUACUCCAACAAAGAGCAGGAUAUGGUGCUUUUACAUCAUGAAGUGGAAGUGGAGUUUCCUGAUGGCAGACCCACCGAAAACCACCAGGCUACCCUACUAGAGUUCGGAAAGGUACAAAAUGAUAAAACAGCAAGCGCAAUGGCUCUUACAGUUGGGAUUCCAGCAGCAAUAGGAGCUCUGCUCUUACUUCAGAACAACGUCCAGAGUAGAGGUGUAAUUAGACCUCUCGAACCUGAAGUAUACGUGCCAGCUCUGGAUAUCUUGGAAGCAUCUGGUAUAAAGCUUAUGGAGAAAAUUGAGACCUUAUAAAUCAAAUUAUAGACGACCUGCUUCCUUGUAAAUGUUGUAAAGGUGAACACGAUGUCAUUUUAACAUCUAUGGAGUCUCAAGCACACAAGGAAUUCAAACAAUAUCGUUAGGAAUAAGAAAGAGCUUCUCUAAUAUUAGCAACUACUGUUCUAAGGUUACUGGACAAGCUUGUAUCAAAAGAAACGUAAAUUCACAGAUAAAAUUCUAUCCAAAUAUUCCAGCAGUGAUAUAAUUACUCAGAACAAUGAUGAAACAAAUUAAUUCAUGCAAGUUCAGCAUCUUCUACAGGUCUUGUGCACUUGGUGAUUUGUAUUAGCCUGGUCCUCAAAUAGUUUAAUUUUGAAGCAUGUUUCAAGAAUCAGAAGAAGAGGUUACAAAAUUAAAAUAGAUGAGGCAUGGUUGGCCCUGACUCAAUGAUUACCAGAGUAAAUUUUUGCGGUAAAUACAUAAAUAUUUCAUUGCAGUAAACCAAAAGUACGGAGAACUAUUAGGCCAAGGCCUACGACAAAAGGUACGCAUAAGAAAAGAACUUGAAAGCACAAAGCAGCAGCAGCUAUCCAACAAACCCCAAGAGUACAAGUCAUCAGAGCACAAAUAUUACAAGCAUGAAGCAAUAUAUGUAACAAAGCAUCCGAGUGGGAAAGCAACGAUCUGGAACCAUGGACAAUUAGCCUUAAGUGAAGAGACCGAGCAAAGGAGGCAACUCCCCGAGACAGUAAAUAGUAUAGGCAGUAGAAGUGGUGCAAGCGUGGUUUGCCGAAUCAAAUCAAACUGCCCAAUUCAUCCCGUAUCAAGUCGAACUAGUGCGAGGCUAGAUCUAUUCGGCUCUGUUUUUGGAAACCACACCUAAAUCGCUCCUACUAAAGCAUAUUGUCCCCAUUUUGUAUUGAAUCAAAGUAUACCGGCUUGUACUGAGAUAAAAAUUAGAAAAAAAAAAAUUUGUCUUGAUCUAC